rnacentral:rRNA from 1 species
GGCCCACCAAGGCGACGAUCAGUAGCCGGCCUGAGAGGGCGGCCGGCCACAUUGGGACUGAGACACGGCCCAGACUCCUGCGGGAGGCAGCAGUGGGGAAUAUUGCACAAUGGGGGAAACCCUGAUGCAGCGACGCCGCGUGAGCGAUGAAGUAUCUCGGUAUGUAAAGCUCUAUCAGCAGGGAAGAAAGUGACAGUACCUGACUAAGAAGCCCCGGCUAACUACGUGCCAGCAGCCGCGGUAAUACGUAGGGGGCAAGCGUUAUCCGGAUUCACUGGGCGUAAAGGGAGCGCAGGCGGCACGGCAAGUCUGGUGUGAAAACCCGGGGCUCAACCCCGGGACUGCAUUGGAAACUGCCGGGCUGGAGUGUCGGAGGGGUAAGCGGAAUUCCUAGUGUAGCGGUGAAAUGCGUAGAUAUUAGGAGGAACACCAGUGGCGAAGGCGGCUUACUGGACGAUGACUGACGCUGAGGCUCGAAAGCGUGGGGAGCAAACAGGAUUAGAUACCCUGGUAGUCCACGCCGUA